AUGUCGUCCGCCGCGCCACAGGCGAUCCAGAGCCCCAAGGCCGCCGUCGACUCGCUCGCCGCCAUCCUGGGCCGCGCGCUCCCGGACUCCCUCGCCGCGGCCGGCGACCCCGCGGCCGCGCUCCUCCACGACGACGGCGUCGCCCGCGCCGUCACGGGGCGCCUCCGCGGCGCGGGCUCGGGGGCCGGCCAGGACGCCCUCUGCGGCUGGCUCUACGGCACCUUCCAGUCCGGCCUCCCGGCGCUCCAGCUCGCGGUGCUGCGCUUCGUGCCGACCCUCGCGGGCGUGUACAUGUCCCGCGCCGUCUCCCGCAAGCCGCUCGCCGGGUUCGAGGCCGUGCUCCUCACGCUGUACGCGCACGCCGUGGCGCAGCGGGGCGCCGGGGAGGCCGAGACC
rnacentral:rRNA from 1 species